CCUACGGGAGGCAGCAGUGGGGAAUCUUGCGCAAUGGGCGAAAGCCUGACGCAGCAACGCCGCGUGCGGGAAGAAGGCUUUCGGGCUGUAAACCGCUUUCAGCAGGAACGAAAAUGACGGUACCUGCAGAAGAAGGAGCGGCCAACUAUGUGCCAGCAGCCGCGGUGAUACAUAGGCUUCAAGCGUUGUCCGGAUUUAUUGGGCGUAAAGAGUUCGUAGGCGGUCAAGUAAGUCGGGUGUGAAAAUUCUGGGCUCAACCCAGAGACGCCACCCGAUACUGCUUAACUUGAGUUCGAUAGGGGAGUGGGGAAUUCCUAGUGUAGCGGUGAAAGUGCGCAGAUAUUAGGAGGAACACCGGUGGCGAAGGCGCCACUCUGGAUCGAUACUGACGCUGAGGAACGAAAGCAUGGGUAGCAAACAGGAUUAGAUACCCUGGUAGUCCAUGCCGUAAACGGUGGGCACUAGGUGUGGGUUUCCUAUUAACGAAAUCCGCGCCGUCGCUAACGCAUUAAGUGCCCCGCGUCGGUAGGUACGGUCGCGAGACGUAAACGUAAAGUAGAGUAGUAACGGUCGUGUUAGACGUAGCGAACGACGACGACGAGGGAGGAGG
rnacentral:rRNA from 1 species